rnacentral:rRNA from 1 species
AAUCUUCCGCAAUGGACGAAAGUCUGACGGAGCAACGCCGCGUGAGUGAUGAAGGUUUNCGGAUCNUNAAACUCUGUUGUUAGGGNAGAACAAGUAUCGGAGUCACUGCCGGUACCUUGACGGUACCUGACGAGAAAGCCACGGCUAACUACGUGCCAGCAGCCGCGGUAAUACGUAGGUGGCAAGCGUUGUCCGGAUUUAUUGGGCGUAAAGCGCGCGCAGGCGGUCUUUUAAGUCUGAUGUGAAAGCCCCCGGCUCAACCGGGGAGGGUCAUUGGAAACUGGGAGACUUGAGUGCAGAAGAGGAGAGUGGAAUUCCAUGUGUAGCGGUGAAAUGCGUAGAGAUAUGGAGGAACACCAGUGGCGAAGGCGACUCUCUGGUCUGCAACUGACGCUGAGGCGCGAAAGCGUGGGGAGCAAACA